rnacentral:rRNA from 1 species
AAUAUUGCACAAUGGGGGACACCCUGAUGCAGCGACGCCGCGUGAGUGAAGAAGUAUUNCGGGAUNUNAAGAUCUAUCAGCUGGGNGGAAAAUGACGGUCCCUGACUACGAAGUCCCGGCUAACUACGUGCCAGCACCCGCGGUAACCCGUAGGGGGCAAGCGUUACCCGGAUUUACCGGUUGUAAAGGGAGCGUAGGUGGUGUGGAAAGUCAGAAGUGAAAGCCCAGGGCUCACCCCCGGGACUGGAUUCGAAACUGCCGAAAUAGAGUGCAGGAGAGGUAAGUGGAAGUCCUAGUGUAGCGGUGAAAUGCGUAGAUAUUAGGAGGAACACCAGUGGCGAAGGCGGCUUACUGGACUGUAACUGACACUGAGGAUCGAAAGAGUGGGGAGCAAACAGG